rnacentral:rRNA from 1 species
ACGCUGGCGGCGUGACUAAAACAUGCAAGUCGAACGCGAACGUUCCCUUCGGGGAACAAGUAGAGUGGCGAAAGGGCGAGGAAUACAUGGGUAACGUGCCUCGAGCACGAGGACAGCCGGGGGAAACUCCGGUUAAUACUCGAUAAGACCACAGCACCGCAGGGUGCAGGGGUCAAAGGGUGGGGACCUUCGGGCCUGCCGGCUCGAGAGCGGCCCAUGUCCUAUCAGCUUGUUGGUGGGGUAACGGCCUACCAAGGCUACGACGGGUACCGGGACUGAGAGGUUGACCCGGCGCAUCGGGACUGAGACACUGCCCGGACUCCUACGGGAGGCUGCAGUAACGAAUAUUGGGCAAUGGGCGAAAGCCUGACCCAGCGACGCCGCGUGUGGGAAGAAUGCCUUCGGGUUGUAAACCACUGUCAGGGAUUACCAACCAACCGGUGUGAAUAGCGCCGGGAGUUGAGGAGUCCCAGAGGAAGUCACGGCUAACUUCGUGCCUGCAGCCGCGGUAAUACGAAGGUGGCUAGCGUUGUUCGGAAUCACUGGGCUUAAAGAGCACGUAGGCGGAUGAUCAAGCGUCUUGUGAAAGCCCUCGGCUCAACCGGGGAAUUGCUUGGCGAACUGAUCAUCUUGAGGCAGGUAGGGGCGAGUGGAACUCUUGGUGGAGCGGUGGAAUGCUUAGAUAUCAAGAGGAACGCCAGAGGCGAAGGCGACUCGCUGGGCCUGACCUGACGCUGAGGUGCGAAAGCCAGGGGAGCGAACGGGAUUAGAUACCCCGGUAGUCCUGGCCCUAAACGAUGUCCACUAGGUCGGUGAGGUUCUAAUGCUUUGCUGGCCGAAACAAAAGCGUU